AUCGACCUCCCAUGGUUUACUCUGGUGAGAUGUUUUACUCUUGAAAUCUUUUCUCUGAGUUAGUAAACCCCAUUUUGUCUCUCUACUGAUACUUUAACCAAUAUGCAGAAGUUCCACCAUUAUUUUAUUUUCCAGGUCCGUUCCCUGAUUCACUAAGAAUGCCUAUGCUUUCUCCUGUACCACCUGUCUAUUUUCAUCUUCCAGAUACCCAGUUG
rnacentral:misc_RNA from 1 species